rnacentral:lncRNA from 1 species
CUGUUGUUAUUUAUGUAUUAUUGUCAUUUUGUUUAUUUUCUUUGUUUACAUCUUCUGACAUCAGACUCGGACUUCUCGUGAACUGAAUUUUAAUGUGCGUAUUGUUAUGCGUUUACUUUUCUACAUUGGUUAGAGGUAUAGGGGGAGGGUUGAGAUCUCACAAACAUGUUUAACCCCACCGCAUUUUUGCGCCUGUCCCAAGUCAGGAGCCUCUGGCCUUUGUUAGUCUUGUAUUAUUUUAAUUUUAGUUUCUUGUGUACAAUUUGGAAAUUAGUAUGGCGUUCAUUAUCACUGGACUAGUAUAUAUUUGUUUAGGGGCCAGCUGAAGGACGCCUCCGGGUGCGGGGAUUUCUCGCUACAUUGAAGACCUGUUGGUGACCCUCUGCUGUUGUUUUUUAUUUGGUCGGGUUGUUGUCUCUUUAACACAUUCCCCAUUUUCAUUCUCAAUUUUAAAUUGAAAACUUAUGCAAAUGGUGUUUUUAAAAUAAAACACCUCGUAAUU